UACGUAGGGGGCAAGCGUUGUCCGGAUUCAUUGGGCGUAAAGAGCGUGUAGGCGGCCAGGUAGGUCGGUUGUGAAAACUGGAGGCUCAACCUUCAGAGGUCGACCGAAACCAUCUGGCUAGAGUCCGGGAGAGGAGAGUGGAAUUCCUGGUGUAGCGGUGAAAUGCGCAGAUAUCAGGAAGAACACCGAUGGCGAAGGCAGCUCGCUGGGACGGUACUGACGCUGAGGCGCGAAAGCGUGGGGAGCGAACAGG
rnacentral:rRNA from 1 species